rnacentral:rRNA from 1 species
GACGGAGGAUGCAAGCGUUAUCCGGAAUUAUUGGGCGUAAAGCGUCCGCAGGUGGCAGUUCAAGUCUGCUGUGAAAGACCGGGGCUUAACUUCGGAAAGGCAGUGGAAACUGAACAGCUAGAGUAUGGUAGGGGCAGAGGGAAUUCCUGGUGUAGCGGUGAAAUGCGUAGAGAUCAGGAAGAACAUCGGUGGCGAAGGCGCUCUGCUGGACCAUAACUGACACUCAUGGACGAAAGCUAGGGGAGCGAAUGGG